CCGUGGGGCUUCGGCCCCAUUGAGAUAGCACCCUUUGUUUAUGAGUACCCUUGUUUCCUCGGCGGGCUUGCCCGCCAUGAGGACAUUAAAAACCCUUUGUAGUAGUAGUAACUUCAGUUAAUAAUAAAUAUUA
rnacentral:misc_RNA from 1 species